AGGUGAUAAAACUAUAGAUAGUACAAACGAAGUGGUCGUCACGGAAAUGUAUUUUGCCGAUUUCGAUGAAAUCAUUGACUACAAUUCUCUUGGGCAGUCUUUGAAAGAGUUUUACCAGGAUUUUAAAUACCCUCUUUACAAGGAAAUAAAGGUUCCAAAAGAUGAUGAAGUUUUUAAUAUGACCAGUUCUUUAGGAAGUCGAACCAAAAGGUUUAGUGCCCCCUGUAGAGGCCAAGGGAUAAAGACAGUUUAUGGUAUUGAUUCAGGAAGAACUUGCAAUCAUCUAAAAUUGUGCGAAAGGGGAGGAACCAUUAAUGGAGUGAUCGUAUUUACAGAUUGUGACAAUGUCCGCAUUACUUCACCGACGGUGUAUAGAUGCAUGUGUUGUCCUUGGGUUACACCAAAUACCGGUGAUUGUUAUUGUGUUACUAUGUCGAGAUGAUUGAACAUAUGAUAGUAAAACUCUAUCAAUAGCAUGAACAUCAUAUUCUAAUCCGAAUAAAAUGAUAGGGCAACUGA